rnacentral:rRNA from 1 species
GACGAACGCUGGCGGCGUGCUUAACACAUGCAAGUCGAACGGAAAGGCCCUGCUCUUGUGGGGUGCUCGAGUGGCGAACGGGUGAGUAACACGUGAGUAACCUGCCCUUGACUUUGGGAUAACUUCAGGAAACUGCGGCUAAUACCGGAUAGGAGCUCCUGCUGCAUGGUGGGGGUUGGAAAGUUUCGGCGGUUGGGGAUGGACUCGCGGCUUAUCAGCUUGUUGGUGGGGUAGUGGCUUACCAAGGCUUUGACGGGUAGGCGGCAUGAGAGGGGUGCCGGCCACCAGAGGACUGAGGUACGGCCCAGUCUCGUAUGGGACGCAGCAGGGGGGAAUAUGGCAGAAUAGGGGGAAGUCUGAUGCAGCGACGCCCCGAGCGGGAUGCCCGGCUUCGGGUUAUAAACCGCUUUCGCCUGUGACAAAGCGUGAGUGACGGUAAUGGGUAAAAAAGCACCGGCUAACUACGUG